rnacentral:rRNA from 1 species
CAUGCAAGUCGAGGGGCAGCAUGUUGGUUGCUUGCAACCAAUGAUGGCGACCGGCGCACGGGUGAGUAACGCGUAUCCAACCUACCCUUGUCCAUCGGAUAACCCGUCGAAAGGCGGCCUAACACGAUAUGCGGUUCACAGCAGGCAUCUAAGGUGAACGAAAUGUGAAGGAGAAGGAUGGGGAUGCGUCUGAUUAGCUUGUUGGCGGGGUAACGGCCCACCAAGGCUACGAUCAGUAGGGGUUCUGAGAGGAAGGUCCCCCACAUUGGAACUGAGACACGGUCCAAACUCCUACGGGAGGCAGCAGUGAGGAAUAUUGGUCAAUGGACGAGAGUCUGAACCAGCCAAGUAGCGUGCAGGAUGACGGCCCUAUGGGUUGUAAACUGCUUUUAUAGGGGGAUAAAGUGUGCCACGUGUGGCAUAUUGCAGGUACCCUAUGAAUAAGGACCGGCUAAUUCCGUGCCAGCAGCCGCGGUAAUACGGAAGGUCCAGGCGUUAUCCGGAUUUAUUGGGUUUAAAGGGAGCGUAGGCCGUUUGGUAAGCGUGUUGUGAAAUGUCGGGGCUCAACCUGGGCAUUGCAGCGCGAACUGCCAGACUUGAGUGCGCAGGAAGUAGGCGGAAUUCGUCGUGUAGCGGUGAAAUGCUUAGAUAUGACGAAGAACUCCGAUUGCGAAGGCAGCCUGCUGUAGCGCAACUGACGCUGAAGCUCGAAAGCGUGGGUAUCGAACAGGAUUAGAUACCCUGGUAGUCCACGCGGUAAACGAUGGAUGCUCGCUGUUUGCGUCUGACGUAAGCGGCCAAGCGAAAGCGUUAAGCAUCCCACCUGGGGAGUACGCCGGCAACGGUGAAACUCAAAGGAAUUGACGGGGGCCCGCACAAGCGGAGGAACAUGUGGUUUAAUUCGAUGAUACGCGAGGAACCUUACCCGGGCUUGAACUGUA